UUUAAGGCACGUAAAGAAAUG
ensembl:piRNA 21ur-6377 ncRNA